AGUGAACGCUGGCGGUAGGCCUAACACAUGCAAGUCGAACGGCAGCACAGUAAGAGCUUGCUCUUACAGGUGGCGAGUGGCGGACGGGUGAGGAAUACAUCGGAAUCUACUUUUUCGUGGGGGAUAACGUAGGGAAACUUACGCUAAUACCGCAUACGACCUACGGGUGAAAGCAGGGGAUCUUCGGACCUUGCGCGAUUGAAUGAGCCGAUGUCGGAUUAGCUAGUUGGCGGGGUGAAGGCCCACCAAGGCGACGAUCCGUAGCUGGUCUGAGAGGAUGAUCAGCCACACUGGAACUGAGACACGGUCCAGACUCCUACGGGAGGCAGCAGUGGGGAAUAUUGGACAAUGGGCGCAAGCCUGAUCCAGCCAUACCGCGUGGGUGAAGAAGGCCUUCGGGUUGUAAAGCCCUUUUGUUGGGAAAGAAAAGCAGCAGGUUAAUACCCCGCUGUUCUGACGGUACCCAAAGAAUAAGCACCGGCUAACUUCGUG
rnacentral:rRNA from 1 species